UAAUACGGAGGGUGCGAGCGUUAAUCGGAAUUACUGGGCGUAAAGCGCAUGCAGGUGGUUUGUUAAGUCAGAUGUGAAAGCCCGGGGCUCAACCUCGGAAUAGCAUUUGAAACUGGCAGACUAGAGUACUGUAGAGGGGGGUAGAAUUUCAGGUGUAGCGGUGAAAUGCGUAGAGAUCUGAAGGGAUACCGGUGGCGAAGGCGGCCCCCUGGACAGAUACUGACACUCAGAUGCGAAAGCGUGGGGAGCAAACAGGAUUAGAUACCCUGGUAGUCCACGCCGUAAACGAUGUCUACUUGGAGGUUGUGGCCUUGAGCCGUGGCUUUCGGAGCUAACGCGUUAAGUAGACCGCCUGGGGAGUACGGUCGCAAGAUUAAAACUCAAAUGAAUUGACGGGGGCCCGCACAAGCGGUGGAGCAUGUGGUUUAAUUCGAUGCAACGCGAAGAACCUUACCUACUCUUGACAUCCAGAGAACUUUCCAGAGAUGGAUUGGUGCCUUCGGGAACUCUGAGACAGGUGCUGCAUGGCUGUCGUCAGCUCGUGUUGUGAAAUGUUGGGUUAAGUCCCGCAACGAGCGCAACCCUUAUCCUUGUUUGCCAGCGAGUAAUGUCGGGAACUCCAGGGAGACUGCCGGUGAUAAACCGGAGGAAGGUGGGGACGACGUCAAGUCAUCAUGGCCCUUACGAGUAGGGCUACACACGUGCUACAAUGGCGCAUACAGAGGGCGGCCAACUUGCGAGAGUGAGCGAAUCCCAAAAAGUGCGUCGUAGUCCGGAUCGGAGUCUGCAACUCGACUCCGUGAAGUCGGAAUCGCUAGUAAUCGUGGAUCAGAAUGCCACGGUGAAUACGUUCCCGGGCCUUGUACACACCGCCCGUCACACCAUGGGAGUGGGCUGCAAAAGAAGUAGGUAGUUUAACCUUCGGGAGGACGCUUACCACUUUGUGGUUCAUGANCUGGGGUGAAGUCGUAACAAGGUAGCCG
rnacentral:rRNA from 1 species